rnacentral:rRNA from 1 species
UCGAACGCUGCUUAGAAGAAACUUCGCGUUUUUUCUUAAGCGGAGUGGCGGACGGGUGAGUAACACGUGGGGAACCUAUCCAUCAGCGGGGGAUAACACUUGGAAACAGGUGCUAAUACCGCAUACGGCUUUUUUUCACCUGAAAGAAAGCUCAAAGGCGCUUUACAGCGUCACUGAUGGCUGGUCCCGCGGUGCAUUAGCCAGUUGGUGAGGUAACGGCUCACCAAAGCAACGAUGCAUAGCCGACCUGAGAGGGUGAUCGGCCACACUGGGACUGAGACACGGCCCAGACUCCUACGGGAGGCAGCAGUAGGGAAUCUUCGGCAAUGGACGCAAGUCUGACCGAGCAACGCCGCGUGAGUGAAGAAGGUUUUCGGAUCGUAAAGCUCUGUUGUCAGCAAAGAACAGGAGAAAGAGGCAAUGCUUUUUCUAUGACGGUAGCUGACCAGAAAGCCACGGCUAACUACGUGCCAGCAGCCGCGGUAAUACGUAGGUGGCAAGCGUUGUCCGGAUUUAUUGGGCGUAAAGCGAGCGCAGGCGGUGAUUUAAGUCUGAUGUGAAAGCCCCCAGCUCAACUGGGGAGGGUCAUUGGAAACUGGAUCACUUGAGUGCAGAAGAGGAGAGUGGAAUUCCAUGUGUAGCGGUGAAAUGCGUAGAUAUAUGGAGGAACACCAGUGGCGAAGGCGGCUCUCUGGUCUGUAACUGACGCUGAGGCUCGAAAGCGUGGGUAGCAAACAGGAUUAGAUACCCUGGUAGUCCACGCCGUAAACGAUGAGUGCUAAGUGUGGGAGGGUUUCCGCCCUUC